AUGCUCACUUCAGCAGCACAUAUACUAAAAUUGGAAUGAUACAGAGAAGAUUAACAUGGCCCCUGCACAAGGAUGACAUGCAAAUUCAGGAAGUGUUCCAUAUUAAA
ensembl:snRNA U6 U6 spliceosomal RNA